CUCAAGUUAUUGCAGGAGUUGUCCCAUUCUUGAGGACUUAGUAGGUACUCGGAGAAGAGCAGCUCUGCUGAUGCUACUCAUAGUUCUGAAGGAGAUGGAAUACGAGAACAGAUUGUUCUGAGUGAUAGUUCAUCACUUCUUCGUUUGGAUGAACAGUCACUAAGUGACCCAACUGCGAAUUUAUCAUGUAGUAGGAUGAAACCUGGUGAAGGGGUCGAUGUCAGGGGAAGACAGAGUGAGGAUGGAAUUCUGGAUUCCGACACCAUGUUCUCAUGGAUUAUCAACAACCCAUCUCCUCUUGAGCAAAUGGUGGGAUGGCAGCGAUCUAGAGAAGAGAAGAUGCAUAAAGGACAGGAAAUCCUUCAGAUGCUUGAGAAAGAGUUUUUACCUUUUACAGAGCUUGUGUCAGAGGAAGUGUGAACAUUUGAAUUAUGAGGAAGCGUUGAAUAAUGUUGAAAACCUGUGCAUCGAUGAGCUUAAGAAAAGAUAGCAGAACAUGAAGGUUAUGCCUUGUAGUUAUGAAGCAAUACUGAGGAAGUGGCAGGAAGAGAUGGCUGAAGGAGAAACCACUCUCUUUUUGCAAAUAGUAGGCUUGAGAUCGAUGUUGUCACAAAUGUACUUAAAGAGGCACAAGCGCUGAACGCAACUCAGUUUAGGUAUGAUGAAAAUGUCACAUCUCAUCUCUGUGAUGUGGAGAGUGCCGAAGAUGGUGAGUGGAAGAUGCAGGAUUUGAUGAACCAAAUGGAUCCUUGCAUCGACGAAGCCAUUCGGGGACAGAAUGAAUAGUUAUCUUUGGAGAUCCAUUUUACUUAUAUCUUGCAGUUCAAAUCAAACAUUCCGAAAUUUGUCAUGUUUCUGAGUUUGAUAUGCAUGGUUGCUUAUCCUGAAGCUCAACAAAAUUGAUGCUAGGAUCAUGCCGAAUGUUUAUAGCAUGCAGCAAUUGGAGAUCAAGAUGGGCCCAAUUUGUGCCCUUGAUUAUCGGGCAGUUAUUCUGCUGCUUACAGUCAUUCUUGAGGGCCCACCUUGAAGAUUUAGUGGAAAAAGAUGCAACUGAGAAAUCUGAUGCUGCGAGAGAAGCUUUUUUAGCUGAGCUUGCACGUGAUGCACAAAAAAACAGUAACAAAAUUUGUGAUGUUUCAAAGCAAAUACAUGAUAAACAAAGGACAGGAAAAAAAACAAGGAUUACAAAAAAUUUGAAGAUCUGAAGGUAAUGAGUGCCGAUGAGCAGUAUAUCCACAACCACCAAGAGCCACUGUCUGUCAUGCAUCUUGAUUCUUUGAUUCUUCUUUAUUUUUAUUUUGCAGUUCUGAACUCUUAACUUUACUUACUGCAUUUUUUGCGAGUUUCAUUUUUAGAGUAUACUUUUACUUGUAGUUCUUUCUUUAUUACGAUCUUGUUAAAGGAUAAUUGUGAGCCCCUUAUCGGUCAUUUGGUUCAUUCAUUCAUGGGGCAUUUCCUUCAAAGAUGUUUUAUGUGGUGCUUGUUGUGGUUAAUGAUGAGGCACGUCAUAUCAGUAGGUGGUAGACUUCUGAUGUUGUUUUUCACAGUGGAUUUGGCUAGGUGAUUUGUACUAUAAGUCUUUCAGUUUGGACAUCAGAGCAGUGAGAUAUGUUUUCCUUUCAUAGACUGAUAGAGUUGUCCCUAAUGGUUCAUUUUGGCAUGGAGCACAUUUUGGUGUUUUAGAAGCAAUAGUUUCUACUGAAAAAAUGUUCUCCAAGACUACAGUGUCAGGCUAAAGGGUUAGUCACUAGUUGCAGGACAUGUGUUUGGAAAAGGAUCCUAAAUCUGUGCUUUUAUAAGUGGCUUAAUGUGCGUCAAGAGGGAGACUAUCCUGCUAUGGCUGGUGCUAUAUACAUAUGGUGGGAAUGAUGGAUUGAAUUGAACUAGUUUUUGAUAAAGCACGAGCUUCCCUAAUCAGCCAUAUCUGUCUCACCUCAAUUGGGCGGCUUUAUCUAGAGUCUAGACAAGUUCAUGAAGUUAAGUUCUUGGUUUACCUGCUUCAAUGUUGUAUGACAAACUAAACUGGAAGUUGGAAAGUUGAUUACCUGAAAAGUGCAUACCAACUUCCUUUCAUGUAUACUUGAGGGGUGAAGUUUGUGUCUCUUGCCAUUUAUGUGCUUUAGAGAAUAUUUCAGGCGACUUAAAGUUCUAUGUGAACCUGAGAUGGUUCCCUGACCUUUUAUACGUGAGAAGAUUUGGUUUUCUUUCUUUCUUUAAUCCAGACCGCUCAAUGCUAGUGGAAAGGGAAAGGAAAGCCUGGGCAUCAGCACUGGUGAAAGAAGAAGCAAAACCACUUUGACUGAAAAAGCACUCGCAAAGAAGCAACAAACCAAGCCCCUGGGGCAAAUCUUUAAGAACAUUAAAGAUGGUUUGAUGCUUAAUAAUAUUUGUUACUACAGCAUGCACAUAUAUUUAAUGUGUAAAGCUACAAGCAGUUGUUGCAUGCUCUGACUAUCACAUGUAAAACUGUUUCUUUGUAUUGUGAAAGCUCAAGUUUUUUCCUUUCCCCUACUUUUGUUGUCAAGCUAGGCCAUUUGUUUAUUCACUUAAUGGAUCUUUCAGUUCUUCCAAAUGAACCUUGGCGUGAACUGUCUUCCCUGCAGCAUCGUUGAUGCAACUGCUGAUAAUCAGGAGGAGUUUGGUGUUACCACUGCAUUUGGAGAUUAUGAUUCAAAGCUAAGAGAAGAGGAACAUAAGUGGAAGAGGAACUAGUUGCAAGCAACCUAUAAUUCUGUUUUUCUUGUAUUUGCAGUUAUGACUUGUGACCUAUUUUUGCUGAUGGGUGGUCAAAUUUGUUUUGAGAAAGGGAAGGCUGAAUUAGGCAGCCCAUUGUUGUAGACUGGCUUUAGCAGUCAUUGUCUGGCAUGCAUUUUCAUUUGUUUUCUUCUUCCUUUCCUUCUUAAUUGAUGGACUGCGCUUGUCUAAGACAGUCUUAUUGUCAAAAAAUGUUUCCCCUUAAUGCAGCCCCAAUUAAUUGUCAUUGUAACCUUUGGGAAUAUGAUGAAGGUUCAUGGUCCAUUACAAGAAGUGCGUUGCUUUGUUCUUUGAAGAAGAAAUAUGUUUUCUAUAAAUUCUAUAGAAUAACAUAGUUUGAUUUCUUUGCUAAUGUAUUUUACAUUUGUUCUUCUUUUUAUUUGUA